CAUAUGCUUGUCUCAAAGAUUAAGCCAUGCAUGUCUAAGUCCAAGCUGUGUUCACACGGCGAGACCGCGGACGGCUCAUUAAAUCAGUCGUGGUCCAAAUGGGCCAGUGCAAAUCCUACUUGGAUAACUGUGGUAAUUCCAGAGCUAAUACAUGCAACUGAUAUCCCGAAGGCGGUGUUUGGGCUUGCUUGCCUUGCGCUGCGCUGCUCUGACGGAUGCUUUUAUUAGACCAAGCCGCUGAGGACUUGAGGGUUCGCGCUCUCUUGUCUGACUCGUGUGAUGGUGACUCUGGAUAACCAAAUUCUGACAAGCGCACGUACUUCUCUUCUGAGCGAGACGGCGCUGCCACUUUCGAGUGUCUGCCUUAUCAGCUAUCAACCGUUCGUUAUGCGCGACCGAUGGCUUUGACGGGUAACGGGGAAUCAGGGUUCGAUUCCGGAGAGGCAGCCUGAGAGACGGCUACCACGUCCAAGGACGGCAGCAGGCACGCAAAUUACCCAAUCCCAGCAAAUGGGGGAGGUAGUGACGAAAUCUAACGAUGCGGGCGCCCUUUCUGGGGCCCCGCAAUCGGAAUGGGCACUUUCUAAACAACCUGUUGAGAACCUACUGAA
rnacentral:rRNA from 1 species